rnacentral:hammerhead_ribozyme from 1 species
AUCCAGCUGACGAGUCCUAAAUAGGACGAAACACGCGUCAAACUGGAU